GAUUGUGGAGAUUUGGAAAAGGUUCUGGACCCAGUGCAUGUGCAAGGCCGAGGUGCACCGAAGAAAAGGUUGCAGGCAAAGAUGAAGAAGCAAAGAUCAAAGAGGAAAUGUGGCUACUGUGGGGUGACAGGUCAUGAUCGGCGUAAUUGCACUAAACUGCAAGAGGAAAUGAUGGCAGCAAACUAUUAGCUGCAGCUAUCUCUGCAAGGGGUUUUGUGGUAGGAAACUGUUGCCCUUGUGGUCCAUUUUUCAAGUAUUACUUUCUGCAAGUAUUUCAUUUUCCACGAUCUUGCCGAUCCGUCCCCUGCGAUGCCUCAACCUCCUCGUAGCCCUGCACAUGUAUUCUUGUCUGCAUGUUCAGCUGCAAGCUCAUCUGUAGAGAAAAAAAAUUGUUGUACAAGCUAGUAUUGAAGUUGCAUCCACUUUUUCCUUGUUCUGCAGCCCAAGGUAUCUUCAGAUGAUGAUUGGAGCUGGAUGGCGCUCAAGCUAUUGCGUAAGC